rnacentral:rRNA from 1 species
GGUUAAGCGACUAAGCGUACACGGUGGAUGCCCUGGCAGUCAGAGGCGAUGAAGGACGUGCUAAUCUGCGAUAAGCGCCGGUAAGGUGAUAUGAACCGUUAUAACCGGCGAUUUCCGAAUGGGGAAACCCAGUGUGAUUCGUCACACUAUCAUUAACUGAAUCCAUAGGUUAAUGAGGCGAACCGGGGGAACUGAAACAUCUAAGUACCCCGAGGAAAAGAAAUCAACCGAGAUUCCCCCAGUAGCGGCGAGCGAACGGGGAGGAGCCCAGAGCCUGAAUCAGCAUGUGUGUUAGUGGAAGCGUCUGGAAAGGCGCGCGAUACAGGGUGACAGCCCCGUACACAAAAGCGCAUGUGCUGUGAGCUCGAUGAGUAGGGCGGGACACGUGGUAUCCUGUCUGAAUAUGGGGGGACCAUCCUCCAAGGCUAAAUACUCCUGACUGACCGAUAGUGAACCAGUACCGUGAGGGAAAGGCGAAAAGAACCCCGGCGAGGGGAGUGAAAAAGAACCUGAAACCGUGUACGUACAAGCAGUGGGAGCACAGGUUUACCUGUGUGACUGCGUACCUUUUGUAUAAUGGGUCAGCGACUUAUAUUCUGUAGCAAGGUUAACCGUAUAGGGGAGCCGUAGGGAAACCGAGUCUUAACCGGGCGUUAAGUUGCAGGGUAUAGACCCGAAACCCGGUGAUCUAGCCAUGGGCAGGUUGAAGGUUGGGUAACACUAACUGGAGGACCGAACCGACUAAUGUUGAAAAAUUAGCGGAUGACCUGUGGCUGGGGGUGAAAGGCCAAUCAAACCGGGAGAUAGCUGGUUCUCCCCGAAAGCUAUUUAGGUAGCGCCUCGUGAAUUCAUCUCCGGGGGUAGAGCACUGUUUCGGCUAGGGGGCCAUCCCGGCUUACCAACCCGAUGCAAACUGCGAAUACCGGAGAAUGUUAUCACGGGAGACACACGGCGGGUGCUAACGUCCGUCGUGAAGAGGGAAACAACCCAGACCGCCAGCUAAGGUCCCAAAGUCAUGGUUAAGUGGGAAACGAUGUGGGAAGGCCCAGACAGCCAGGAUGUUGGCUUAGAAGCAGCCAUCAUUUAAAGAAAGCGUAAUAGCUCACUGGUCGAGUCGGCCUGCGCGGAAGAUGUAACGGGGCUAAACCAUGCACCGAAGCUGCGGCAGCGAACGUAUCACCCAAGACAACUUUACGGAGUUGACGAUUGACGGAGCGAAGCGACGUCAAAGCGUUCAUUAAAGUCGAGUUGGCUUAGGGAUACGUUCGUUGGGUAGGGGAGCGUUCUGUAAGCCUGUGAAGGUGUGUCGUGAGGCAUGCUGGAGGUAUCAGAAGUGCGAAUGCUGACAUAAGUAACGAUAAAGCGGGUGAAAAGCCCGCUCGCCGGAAGACCAAGGGUUCCUGUCCAACGUUAAUCGGGGCAGGGUGAGUCGACCCCUAAGGCGAGGCCGAAAGGCGUAGUCGAUGGGAAACGGGUUAAUAUUCCCGUACUUGGUGUUACUGCGAAGGGGGGACGGAGAAGGCUAUGUUGGCCGGGCGACGGUUGUCCCGGUUUAAGCGUGUAGGUGUGUGUUCCAGGUAAAUCCGGUUCACUUUAACACUGAGGCGUGACGACGAGGCACUACGGUGCUGAAGCAACAAAUGCCCUGCUUCCAGGAAAAGCCUCUAAGCAUCAGGUAACACGAAAUCGUACCCCAAACCGACACAGGUGGUCAGGUAGAGAAUACCAAGGCGCUUGAGAGAACUCGGGUGAAGGAACUAGGCAAAAUGGUGCCGUAACUUCGGGAGAAGGCACGCUGACACGUAGGUGAAGUGAUUUACUCAUGGAGCUGAAGUCAGUCGAAGAUACCAGCUGGCUGCAACUGUUUAUUAAAAACACAGCACUGUGCAAACACGAAAGUGGACGUAUACGGUGUGACGCCUGCCCGGUGCCGGAAGGUUAAUUGAUGGGGUCAGCGCAAGCGAAGCUCCUGAUCGAAGCCCCGGUAAACGGCGGCCGUAACUAUAACGGUCCUAAGGUAGCGAAAUUCCUUGUCGGGUAAGUUCCGACCUGCACGAAUGGCGUAAUGAUGGCCAGGCUGUCUCCACCCGAGACUCAGUGAAAUUGAACUCGCUGUGAAGAUGCAGUGUACCCGCGGCAAGACGGAAAGACCCCGUGAACCUUUACUAUAGCUUGACACUGAACAUUGAGCCUUGAUGUGUAGGAUAGGUGGGAGGCUUUGAAGUGUGGACGCCAGUCUGCAUGGAGCCGACCUUGAAAUACCACCCUUUAAUGUUUGAUGUUCUAACGUGGACCCGUAAUCCGGGUUGCGGACAGUGUCUGGUGGGUAGUUUGACUGGGGCGGUCUCCUCCUAAAGAGUAACGGAGGAGCACGAAGGUUGGCUAAUCCUGGUCGGACAUCAGGAGGUUAGUGCAAUGGCAUAAGCCAGCUUGACUGCGAGCGUGACGGCGCGAGCAGGUGCGAAAGCAGGUCAUAGUGAUCCGGUGGUUCUGAAUGGAAGGGCCAUCGCUCAACGGAUAAAAGGUACUCCGGGGAUAACAGGCUGAUACCGCCCAAGAGUUCAUAUCGACGGCGGUGUUUGGCACCUCGAUGUCGGCUCAUCACAUCCUGGGGCUGAAGUAGGUCCCAAGGGUAUGGCUGUUCGCCAUUUAAAGUGGUACGCGAGCUGGGUUUAGAACGUCGUGAGACAGUUCGGUCCCUAUCUGCCGUGGGCGCUGGAGAACUGAGGGGGGCUGCUCCUAGUACGAGAGGACCGGAGUGGACGCAUCACUGGUGUUCGGGUUGUCAUGCCAAUGGCACUGCCCGGUAGCUAAAUGCGGAAGAGAUAAGUGCUGAAAGCAUCUAAGCACGAAACUUGCCCCGAGAUGAGUUCUCCCUGAGACUUAGAGUCUCCUGAAGGAACGUUGAAGACGACGACGUUGAUAGGCCGGGUGUGUAAGCGCAGCGAUGCGUUGAGCUAACCGGUACUAAUGAACCGUGAGGCUUAACCUUAC